CCCAAAGUCAGCUAGAAAUGGGAGACCCAGGCCAGGGACAGUGGCUCACGCCUGUAAUCCCAGCACUUUGGGAGGCUGAGGUGAGCGGAUCACCUGAGGUCGGGAGUUUGAGACCAGCCUGACCAACAUGGAGAAACCCCAUCUCUACUAAAAAUACAGAAUUAGCCAGGCGUGGUGGCGCAUGUCUGUAAUCCCAGCUACUUGGGAGGCCGAGGCAGGAGAAUCACUUGAACCCGGGAGGCGGAGGUUGCGGCAAGUCAAGAUCACGCCAUUGCACUCCAGCCUGGGCAUCGAGAGUGAAACUCUGUCUCAAAAAAAAAAAAAAAAGAAAGGGAGACCCAUUUCUCCUGCCCGGAUGGCCUGGCUCUAACACCCACAUUCUGAGCCACUGUAUACCCUCCACCCAUGUCCCCACUGCUGUACCAUAGAGACCAGGGCUGCACAGGGGCCAGUUUCUGCCAUCCUGACCUUUGUGCCUCACUAGGGAGCUGGAGGUUGGAGGGCCUCCCCUGAGCCUCCCCUCCUCCCACAGGGUUACUGGACCUGGAGGAGGAUGGGGACUUGACCACCGUGGAGUUUGACAAUGGAGACACGGGCAGGAUCCCCCUCUCACAUAUCUGCCUCCUGCCCCCUGACUAUAAGAUCCAAUGUGCUGAGCCAUCCCCGGCCCUCCUGGUGCCAAGUGCCAAGCGCCGCAGCCGGAAGACCAGCAAAGACACUGGGGAGGGCAAAGAUGGUGGCACGGCUGGGUCGGAGGAGCCAGGAGCCAAGGCCCGUGGGAGUGGGUGGAAACCCAGUGCCAAGGCCAGGGGUGGCCCGGUCCCCAGGGCAGGGGCGGUGGGCGGAGCUCCUUCGUGCAUCCAAACUCCGGGCUUGGGAACCUGUCGAAGUGCCUGCCUGCUGUCUGUAAGAACUCUGAGCCGAGUGCGGUGCCUCACACCUGUAAUCCCAGCGCUUUGGGAGGCCAAGGCGAGCAGAUCGCCUGAUGUCAGGAGUUCAAGACCAGUCUGGCCAACGUGGUGAAACCCCGUCUCUACUAAAAAUAUAAAAAUUAGCCGGGCAUGGUGGUGAGUGCCUGUAAUCCCAACUACGUGGGAGGCUGAGGCAGGAGAAUCGCUUGAACCUGGGAGCUGGAGGUUGCAGUGAGCCAAGAUCGUGCCAUUACACUCCAGCCUGGGCAACAAGAGCGAAACUCCAUCUCAAAAAAAAAAAAGAGAGAGAGAGAACUCUGCACCUGCACUGCAGGGCCGUUCUGACCAGGUGAUAGAUGAGGAAACUGAGGCUGAGGGAGGCAGGUUGGUUUGUCAGAGGCAGAGCUGAGCUGCAGCUGGCCUGUGUUUCUUUCCAGAAUCCAGAGAAAAAUGCUUCGUGCAGGCUGAAAAG
rnacentral:lncRNA from 1 species